rnacentral:rRNA from 1 species
UGCAGGUUGAUCCUGCCGGACCUGACUGCUAUCGGAUUGGUACUAAGCCAUGCGAGUCGUUGUAGCAGUACAAGGCGGACUGCUCAGUAACACGUAGUUAACUUAACCUAUGGAUGGGAAUAACCUCGGGAAACUGAGAAUAAUACCCAAUAGACCACAGUGCCUGGAUGGCCUGUGGUUGAAAUGAUUUAUCGCCGUAGGAUAGGACUGCGGCCUAUCAGCUUGUUGGUGAGGUAAUGGCCCACCAAGGCUAUAACAGGUACGGGCUCUGAGAGGAGGGGCCCGGAGAUGGGUACUGAGACACGGACCCAGGCCCUAUGGGGCGCAGCAGGCGAGAAACCUUUGCAAUGUGCGAAAGCACGACAAGGUUAAUCCGAGUGUCUCCUGCUAAAGGAGUCUUUUGUCGGUUGUAGAAUCACUGGUGAAUAAGGGGUGGGCAAGUUCUGGUGUCAGCCGCCGCGGUAAAACCAGCACCUCGAGUGGUCAGGAGGUUUAUUGGGCCUAAAGCAUCCGUAGCCGGUUGCAUAAGGUUUCGGUUCAAUCUAUGCGCUUAACGUAUAGGGCCGCCGAAAAUACUGUGCC